rnacentral:rRNA from 1 species
GGUAGAGAAGCGAAAGCGGAUCGACCUUCCGGGGAGCGUUGUACAGGUGCUGCAUGGCUGUCGUCAGCUCGUGUCGUGAGAUGUUCGGUUAAGUCCGCUAACGAGCGCAACCCUCGCUGUGUGUUACAAGUGUCACACGGAACUGCCGGUCAUAAACCGGAGGAAGGUGGGGAUGACGUCAAGUCAGCAUGGCCUUUAUAUCCUGGGCUACACACACGCUACAAUGGGAAGGGACAAUAGGUUGCGAAGCCGCGAGGCGGAGCCAAUCCAGCAAAACUUCCCUCAGUUCAGAUUGCAGGCUGCAACUCGCCUGCAUGAAGUUGGAGUUGCUAGUAAACGCAGGUCAGCCAUACUGCGUUGAAUACGUUCCCGGGGCUU